UAGCCGUAAACGAUACUCGCUAGGUGUCGGCCACGGUGCGACCGUUGUCGGUGCCGUAGGGAAGCCGUGAAGCGAGCCACCUGGGAAGUACGGCCGCAAGGCUGAAACUUAAAGGAGUUGGCGGGGGAGCACCACAACGGGUGGAGCUUGCGGUUUAAUUGGAUUCAACGCCGGAAAUCUUACCGGGACCGACAGCAACAUGAAGGCCAAGCUGAAGACUUUGCCGGAUUAGCUGAGAGGUGGUGCAUGGCGUAGUCGUGU
rnacentral:rRNA from 1 species